GACGAACGCUGGCGGCGUGCCUAAUACAUGCGAGUCGAGCGAAGUUUUUCUGGUGCUUGCACCGGAAAAACUUAGCGGCGAACGGGUGAGUAACACGUAAAGAACCUGCCUCAUAGACUGGGACAACUAUUGGAAACGAUAGCUAAUACCGGAUAAUAGCAUUAACUGCAUGGUUGAUGUUUAAAAGUUGGUUUUGCUAACACUAUGAGAUGGCUUUGCGGUGCAUUAGCUAGUUGGUGGGGUAAAGGCCUACCAAGGCGACGAUGCAUAGCCGACCUGAGAGGUUGAUCGGCCACACUGGGAGUGAGGCACGGCCCAGACUCCUACGGGAGGCAGCAGUAGGGAAUCUUCCGCAAUGGGCGAAAGCCUGACGGAGCAACGCCGCGUGAGUGAAGAAGGAUUUCGGUUCGUAAAGCUCUGUUGUUAGGGAAGAAGGAUUGUGUAGUAACUAUAUACAGUAGAGACGGUACCUAACCAGAAAGCCACGGCUAACUACGUG
rnacentral:rRNA from 1 species